GCCUGGAGAAUCCCAUGGAUGGAGGAGUCUGGUUAGCUACAGUCUAGGGUUGCAAAGAGUUGGACACAACUGAGCGAUUUCACUUUCUUUCUUUCUUCUUUCAGAGUAAACUUGCUGUAAUCUUCCCAUUUCUUCCAAACAGAAUCAAUACUGAUAGGAGCCACCAUGGGUGUUUUAGACUUUGUUCACAAAACUUUGAACAGUGGCAGGUGUCAUGGGGCAGGAGUGGCUGGGGGGGAUACUUGGGGCCAGAUCCACGACCUCUGGUCUUCUGCCCUUUCCCUGGCCCCCAUUUUUCUGUGCCUUACACCUUUCUCUAAGUUCCAGGCUGAUUGAUGUUCAACCAAAAUCAUUCACUGACUUUAACGUUGGCUGUGUUGAAGUACGUCUCUUACGUCUCCUGCAUGGGCAGGUGGGUACUUUACCACUAGCGCCAGCUGGGAAGCCCCUGGAGGCUCCAUAGAUGGGUUUAAAGGGAACAGGGGACAGAUCUGUAAGGCUGCUGUCCUGGUGCCCUCGAGACGGCCUUGCACUGGCCAGGCUCUGUCCUGUUGACCACCUUAGAUCAGGGGUGAGCUGAGGCCCCUGACACACAGGACUUCUCCAGAAAGCCUGCCAGGCCUCUGACAUCACAUCCUUGAGCUUCCUAAGGCCAGAGGCUGCUGUGAAGCCCUUAGAGCUUUUUACUCGUGCAGGAGUCAGAGGAUGGGUCCCAACGUCAGGCCUUUGUGCCUGGGGACUGUCCUGUCCUCAGCGCUGAGUGAAGAAGUGCUUCCCUGGACACUUUCCAUCUCACGCGCAGCUCCUAAAAUGGUCUCUGCCCCCAUCACCACAGGCAAGAGGAGGGAGGUGCAGCCAACUCACAGAACUCGCUCUGACAGGUUUCCGAGCUUUGCAAUCACCAGCAAAAAGGUGCCGGGAGCCCUUCCCUAAAGGGCCCCUUUGGGCAGAGAGGACAUUCCCAGCUGCCCCCUGCUGUUUGGCAGAUUUCUAUCUCAGUGAGACUCACCCUCAGUAAGGUUAACCUGGAGUAAGACUAACCUUCAAUCGGUCAUCCAUCUUAACUUGGGUCCUUGGUUUGGUUUUCAAACCUGCAAAGAAUUCUUCCUACAUCCCACUCAGCUGACAGCACAGCCCACGUGUGUCCAGUAAGUGCUGACAACCUAGAGCAGGCAGCCCAGCUGGGAGGGAGCCAGGGAGCCCUCGCGUUGGAAUUCACGCUCUUAGAAGUGAAAGCUCUCUGCCCCACCAUCCCGCUGCCCCCUCUUUCCCUCCCUCCUUCUCUCUAGCCCCCCAGCUCCCAGCACCCCCAAGCCAGAAAGAGAGGCCUCACCAGAAAGCCAACCCUGAUGGCAUCUUGACCUUGGACCUCCAGCCUCCAGAACUGUAGAAGGCGGUUGGAGAAAAAGACCGAGGUUCCCAGAGGAAGUAAGAUUUCUGCCUCCAGGCUGCCAGCCUGCCCUGCAGAGUGUGGACUCGACAGCCCCUA